AUUUUAAAGAUUGACAUUGGCAUACCCUUGGGCAGCCUAAUUGUUUUGGUCCGAUGAUCUGAUGAUGGUUUCACCUGAUAAACUGGAUUGGAUCUCUUGUGCAUGUGCAGGUCGGCAUGUCUAUUUGUGUAGAGAUGACUAUGGAAGGGAUUGCAAACUUCUAAGGCCUUGUGCCUGGGUAUAGUAAUUUGCCACAUUUAGUUGUAGGUUUCUUACAAUUUUGUUUUUAGUAGCUAGCAAUAUCCAGGCCAUGCCUGGACAAUCUCCUUUUGAUUUUUACAUGGAUGCUUAUUCAAAAAAUGAUGUGUGUAGAGUUUUUGGUUGACAUGAGCUGGUUUUUGGCUACAGGUAAUUGAUUAUGGAGUUCAUAAGCUUUGGAAAUACAAUAACGUUGGGGAGGGGUCUCGCCCCUAUAUUUGACAAUAUGAACAGGGGAUGUACAAUCCACACUCAUUCAGGUGGGCACCACAAAAAUGUCGGGCCUCACAAUCAGGUAACUCAUGCUGCAAUGGAAUUCUUCACAGCAAUUACUGGGAUCUCCUUGAACUUUCUUUGAUAUGCUCUUCCUACAAACUAGGACUUUCUUUUUUAUUGCUGGUAUCUCCUUCCAACUUUGUUUGAUGUGUAACUUGGAAUUUUCUUUUUUUAUUGCUAGGUGUUCCUACAACUUCAUUUAAAGUAAGCUGUUUCAUAUUUCUAGUGUGGCCCUAUUUAAAUCAAGGGGAUUUGCUUUCCUUUAUGAAAUCUCUCAAGGGUAUGAUACAAUCUACCAAUGCAGUUGCGAUGAUUACUUUCCCUCCAUUUGUUCUGUCACCUUCCUUCUCUAAGAGAUGGCAGCAUUUGGCGGAUACUCUGCUCUCUGUCAGGG